rnacentral:rRNA from 1 species
UACGUAGGGUGCAAGCGUUGCCCGGAAUUACUGGGCGUAAAGAGUUCGUAGGCGGUUUGUCGCGUCGUUUGUGAAAACUCACAGCUCAACUGUGAGCCUGCAGGCGAUACGGGCAGACUUGAGUACUGCAGGGGAGACUGGAAUUCCUGGUGUAGCGGUGAAAUGCGCAGAUAUCAGGAGGAACACCGGUGGCGAAGGCGGGUCUCUGGGCAGUAACUGACGCUGAGGAACGAAAGCGUGGGUAGCAAACAGG